rnacentral:RNase_P_RNA from 1 species
CAGGCUGACCGGAUGAUCGCGUCAUCACCUGGUGUGAUGCCGAGGAAAGUCCGCGCUGUAGAGAGCAGAAUGGCGGGUAACACCCGCUGCGGGUAACCGCAGGAUAGGACCACAGAAACAAACCGCUCCCGCGAGGGAGAAAGGGUGAAACGGCGGUGUAAGAGACCACCGGCGGCAUAGUAAUGUGCCGGCCAGGUAACCCCCAUUCACAGCAAGGUCAAGCAGGGAUGAUGCGCCCCACGGGGUACGCGAGGAACGGCUCGUUCCUCAGCUUCGGCAAAAAUCCCGGGUAGACUGCUUGAGCGCCUUGGUAACAUGGCGCCGAGAGAGAUGAUCAUCCAGGAGAGGACCGUCUGUGAAGAUACCUCCUCUCCGGACAGAACGCGGCUUACAGGUCAGCCAGGCAU